CAACGUGUAACUGUAAUGCAUUUCUUUUGAUGAGUCUGAAGCUCUAACAUAAGAUCCAUAGGAUGGGAAUAUUCAAACUUGAGCUUAUUUAGAAAUUAAAGGAAAAAAAAAAAACAUGUACAAAGAUUGUACCAGGUAACAACAUAUAUCUGGAUAUAUAUGGAUUUUGAAUAAGGAUUGGUAAAUAUAACACCAUCCUUCCCUGCAUCCUACCUCAAAUAGGUAAAUAUUUUUGUCUUAUUUUUUACAGUUAUAUGUAAAUAACGAGGUUUUAAUAGUGUUUCCUUUCCUUCAAAAGUGGUUCCAUGCAAAGAGAUAUUGGUUAACAAUACAAAUGCUGAGGAUUGUUUGAAUAGCGUGUGCUGAUGAGGACAUUGUAUAUAUAUGUAAUUACUUUUAGCAGAGG
rnacentral:lncRNA from 1 species